rnacentral:rRNA from 1 species
UUGGAGGGCAAGUCUGGUGCCAGCAGCCGCGGUAAUUCCAGCUCCAAUAGCGUAUAUUAAAGUUGUUGCAAUUAAAAAGCUCGUAGUUGAAUUUCGGGGUCAGUAGGUUGGUCGUGCCACUGGUAUGUACUGGCUUCACUGAUUCCUCCUUCUUGAAGAACUGUAAUGUCAUUAAUUUGGUGUUGCAGGGAAACAGGACUGUUACUUUGAAAAAAUUAGAGUGUUUAAAGCAGGCUAACGCUUGAAUACAUUAGCAUGGAAUAAUGAAAUAGGACGUUUGACCCUAUUUUGUUGGUUUCUAGGAUCGACGUAAUGAUUAAUAGGGAUAGUUGGGGGCAUUAGUAUUCAAUUGUCAGAGGUGAAAUUCUUGGAUUUAUUGAAGACUGACUACUGCGAAAGCAUUUGCCAAGGAUGUUUUCAUUAAUCAAGAACGAAAGUUAGGGGAUCGAAGACGAUCAGAUACCGUCGUAGUCUUAACCAUAAACUAUGCCGACUAGGGAUCGGAUGAUGUUAAUUUUUUAAUGACUCAUUCGGCGCCUUACGGGAAAC